GUGAAUCAUCGAAUCUUUGAACGCACAUUGCGCCCUCUGGCAUUCCGGAGGGCACACCUGUCCGAGCGCCGUCGCAACACUGAGGCUCAGCCUUGCGUUGGAGAACAGCUCCCAGUCUCUGGGAGCAGUCUCCCAAACACCGACGGCGCCGCACCGCGGCCGACGAUGCGCAAAAGCAAAAGUCGACUCCGGAUGUGGCCGCCUUGUAAGAACCCACAAGCUUGGCCUCGGAUCAGGUGGGGAUACCCGCUGAACUUAAGCAUAUCAAUAAGCGGAGGA
rnacentral:misc_RNA from 1 species